UGGACCCUCGCCUGGCCUCUGGACAGCAAGCCAGCAUGACUUGGUGGCCAUGAACUGUAGCAGCCCGUGGUCUGCCCUUGGCUGCAGAGAUUGGUCCAGAGCAUCAUUGCCCCAAGGAUGAGCGUCCUCUGUAACUGGACAAGAGCAAAAUAACAGCACAGACUAGAAAGGGAUAUGCUUCUUCCAUACAAGGUUCAGAAGAAGUGGCUAAGUAUCAAAGGACAUAGUUUUGGUAGGUCUCCACUUCGAUAAGUGAGGUAUGUUAAUUUUUCUUAUAGCACAUAUCUUUUCUCAUAGCGCAUCUGAUUUCAGUCCUGUGAGUGCCCAAUUAUUCGUAGGCAUAAGGUGGUAGAUAGGAGAUUCACCCUAAACAUUUCCUAAAGGACACAGUGUGGAUCCCAAAGCAGUUCAGUUGGGCCGGAGGAGUCAUCCUUGCUCUCAUAGUGUAAGCCAGUUCUAUGCAGGCUGUUGUACGGUGAAAGUAUCAAUCGUCUAAACGAGAUGUGCACUCUACAAACUGACUCUAGAAAGGUGUACCCAUCUGUGAGGUGGUGUGGCAUUACUUUUAUGGGGAUAACCAACUGCUCCCAGGUUGGACUGAAGGUUUGCUCUGUACAAUUGGUCCACAACUGAUAUCUGAAGAAGUCUCAGGCCCUGGGAGCUAGGGAUGGGUAUGUGGGGGGAGGGGGGGAACCUAAGAUGGGUCCUUAGUAGAAUCAAGAUAGCAUUAAACCACCCCUAGACUACCUGUGUAUGCCCAUAGACAAAGGUUUCUCUCAUUCUUCCACAGAGAUAUUCCUUCUGGCAAUGAAGAGAUAAAUCCAAAGCUCCAUUAUGGGACAAGAUGCCAGAAGUAAAGGACAAUUGAGCCUAGACAAGGCUUAGCCUUAGACAAAAUAUUUAUACAUCGUGUUAAGGCUCAAGAAACAUUGAGGAAGAAGUUAUGGAAAGAAUGUAAGAGCCGCAGAGAAGGGAGGUUGUAAAAUACCGUCUUCUGAGCAAGACGAGGCCGUGCCAACUACAAAUUUACAGCAGUCGUGAACCCUAGAACUGGGUUCAUAGAAGUUGGGACCUCUUAACAGUAACUAUUAGAGAGGUGGGACCUGUAGGGCCUGCCAUUAGCUUCUGAGCUAUUGGCAACAGCAGAUUCUGGGAGUGGCGAGGCAUAGUAUUCUAUUACAUACCCACAGGUGGGUGAGCCACCAGGCUGUCAUGGUUCCAAACUCUCAGGCUCAAACAGGCAGCCCUGGUCAAAUAUUAUAGGAAAAAGAUUUGUAAAGACCAAGUUCUUGUCAUGGUGGGAGGAGCUAGGAGAAAACAAUUGUAAGAAAACAAACAGCUACAGUGUACUUACAUACAAUAAAUAAAUAAAUAAAUAAAUAAAU
rnacentral:lncRNA from 1 species